rnacentral:tRNA from 1 species
GGGGACUUCGCCAAGUGGGACGGCAGCGGCUUCCAAACCCGCCAUGAGGGAGUUCGAUUCUUCCAGUCCUCGC